GCCUCUUGGGAUGAUCACAAGAAACUUUCGUUCUUCUGAUAUGUUUUAAUGCGGAAGAUUUGUGGAGACCUGAACUGAAGAGGC